rnacentral:rRNA from 1 species
UAGGGAAUCUUCCACAAUGGACGCAAGUCUGAUGGAGCAACGCCGCGUGAGUGAAGAAGGUUUUCGGAUCGUAAAGCUCUGUUGUUGGUGAAGAAGGAUAGAGGCAGUAACUGGUCUUUAUUUGACGGUAAUCAACCAGAAAGUCACGGCUAACUACGUGCCAGCAGCCGCGGUAAUACGUAGGUGGCAAGCGUUGUCCGGAUUUAUUGGGCGUAAAGCGAGCGCAGGCGGAAUGAUAAGUCUGAUGUGAAAGCCCACGGAUCAACCGUGGAACUGCAUCGGAAAAUGUCAUUCUUGAGUGCAGAAGAGGAGAGUGGAAUUCCAUGUGUAGCGGUGGAAUGCGUAGAUAUAUGGAAGAACACCAGUGGCGAAGGCGGCUCUCUGGUCUGCAACUGACGCUGAGGCUCGAAAGCAUGGGUAGCGAACAGG